rnacentral:rRNA from 1 species
UACGUAGGGUGCGAGCGUUGUCCGGAAUUAUUGGGCGUAAAGAGCUCGUAGGCGGUGUGUCACGUCGGCCGUGAAAACCUGGGGCUUAACUCUGGGCGUGCGGUCGAUACGGGCAUCACUAGAGUUCGGCAGGGGAGACUGGAAUUCCUGGUGUAGCGGUGAAAUGCGCAGAUAUCAGGAGGAACACCGGUGGCGAAGGCGGGUCUCUGGGCCGAUACUGACGCUGAGGAGCGAAAGUGUGGUGAGCGAACAGG